AUGAGCACUCUGCAGAGGGGUGCAGGGAGGCAGCGCUUUAUUCAAGGGAAGGGAAAUGUUGCAGCAACAGGUGGAGGUGAAGGUCAAGUGCAGAGCCCUCCUGGCACAUCCAGUGCUCUCUCCGUCAUGGGGAGGGGUGAGGAGGGAGGACGGUGCUUCCAGGAAAGCAGAGCUGGGGCCCGCUGGACUCCAGGCAGCUCUCUGCUCUCCUCGCCUUUUGCCUCAGGUAAAAAAAAAAAAAAGUGCAAUGGCCCAGAACACAGUCACCUCGUUCCCCCUUGGCUAGGAUGGAAGGCAUUGCUCACAGGGUAACAGGGGAUAGUGGUGACUGGAGAGGUCUUGCAGUGUCCCCUUUGCAGAAGCCACUGGGACAGUGAUUUCUGUGGAGUGGGAGGGCUGAGAGGCAUGGGUGGGCCUUGCUUCCUGCAAGAUUCGAUUCGAUCUGAUCCGCCUACCCUGCCAGCUCUCUGCCUCUCACAGCGAGCCUCUGGAGAUUGGGAAGGGGGUUUCCUCACCUGCCAGUGCUCCUGUACUCCAACUCUGCAGACCCCACUCCAGCCUCACGCCUUGCACCACACACAUCAAAGCAGCAUCAUCUCUCAGGCCAAGCCCUUCCACAUUUCUGCUGUGCUCCUGGCAUGCGGCUAACCCCGCAUGGCCUCCUGCAUUGAGUCAUGGAUACUGGAGAUGGGAAGGGCUUUAAAUGCCAGUUGGUCAAGGCUCAUUUCACAUAUGAGGGAAAUGAGAUCCAGAGAGGCUGAACAACUUGCCUGAGGUCACACAAUUUGCAGUGUAGAAUUGGAUGAGAACCCCGCUCUUCAGCUCUCAGCCAGCGUCCUCGUGCUGUGUGAAGUGAUGGGUGUAUUGGCCGUAGCUCGGGAUGUGCUACACCCGGUGCAUGUGCUUAUCCUUUUAUAAACUGCGUUCUGUAAGCAUUGCUGUAGGAGGCAGGGUGGAGAGAUGGGAGAGGGCAGUGCUCAGAGGUUCUGAGUUCUAGUCCUGCUGGCACCAGCUGGCUGUGAUCCUGGGCAAGACCCGCUGCCUCUUUGAGGCCUGUUUUUUUUGUUUUAAAGUGAAAAGUUUGGACUGCAAGGCCUCUUUCAGUUUUAAAAGUCUGAAUCAAAUCCCAGAACUUUGGGAGGCCGAGGCGGGUGGAUUGUUUGAGGUCAGGAGUUUGAGACCAGCCUGGACAAGAUGGUGAAACCCCAUCUCUAUUAAAAAUACAAAAAAAUUAGCUGGGCAUGGUGGUGUGCACUUGUAGUUCCAGCUACUUGGGAGGCUGAGGCAGGAGAAUUGCUUGAACCCAGGAGGUGGAGGUUGCAGUGAGUCAAGAUGACGCACUGCACUCCAGCCUGAGAGUCAGCCUGAAGACAGAGCGAGACUCGGUCUUAAAAAAAAUGUCUGAAUUGGUCACUAAAUGAUGGACCCACAUUGAAAGAAAGCCUGCUAUUCGAAGAUGCUUGCUAGUGAAUGCCGGGUCUUUUUGAAAAGCGAACACUCCAUCAGUUGUUGUUGGGAUCAUUUCAGAUUUUUGCAUGUCAGUCGGUCUGGAGAGGAGCUGAUGCUCUGAAGGUGCUGCCUGGCUCUGAACUAUGGAAGCCAAGAGCUCUGGUGGGGUAGGAACUGAGGGUCCACUACAUUUGCCCCAAGAACAUCCUUGCUGGCCUCGCCGAGGGAGCCUGGCACGUGUCAUGCUUGGCAAUUGUUUCCAUGAGACUCCCCUGCUUUGACGGCGACAGGACACGGGGCCCUGAAUGCAUGAUAACAACAAGCAGGUCCCCUGAGCCUUGUUUGUAGAGGUGGGUCAUCUCUGGUACCGACCUCCAUCCACCUGAGAAGCAGGGCUGGCCACUUUGCCACCAGCCCCAGCCCUGCCCCGGAGGGAUCUGCAGUGUAAACGGACCGUGUGAAUGCUGGGAUCUGCAGUGUAAACGGACCGUGUGAAUGCUGGGAUCUGCAGUGUAAACGGACCGUGUGAAUGCUGAUUUUUACAAAGGCCCAAAUGUGGUCAAUUCAGUUAUUCAUACCAGGCAAGGAAGCUGCCUUAUGAAUAAUUCAAAGUUGUUGCAAAUCCACAGACCUUUUUCACAUUGCCUGCUUACAGUAGGCUCUCCAUAAAUGUUUACUGAAUAACUGAAUAAAUUAACAUAUGAAUGAAUAUUUUGCAAUAAGCUUUUGGUAUUUACUUUUGCACAUCCGUCUGUUGAUGUUCUGAGGAUCAGCAGAUGUCCUCACAAAGGGGCUCAGGCAUGCUCCCCAAACAGGCCUGGAGCGCCCAGAAAAGCCAAGUGGGCCGUGGUUCUCCCUUGCUCUGCAAGAGUGGCGGGGAAUAGGAAAAAAACGUCCCCGUGGCUGAUACAGCCUCUAGCUGGAAGCUGUGAGAUUCCUGACACAGGCCAUGCCUGAUUUGUGUGGCUUACCACUUUCAUUCUGCUUUUAUAACCCUCUCCUC
ensembl:lncRNA